rnacentral:lncRNA from 1 species
AUUGUUCUCUAUACUUUAACCUUUUUGUCCAUUGUUCUCUAUUCUUUAUACAUUGUGCCCAUUUUUCUCUUUUCUUUAUACUUUUUGUCCAUUUUUCUCUAUGCUUUAUACUUUUUGUCCAUUGUUCUCUAUUAUUCAUGCUUUUUGUCCAUUGUUCUCUAUUCUUUAUACUUUUUGUCCAUUGUUCUCUAUUCUUUAUACUUUUUGUCCAUUGUUCUCUAUUAUUUAUACUUUUUGCCCAUUUUUCUCUAUUCUUUACACUUUUU